AAGACCUUACGCUUUUGGAGCGGCCGAUGUCUGAUUAGCUUGUUGGUGAGGUGAAGGCUUACCAAGGCUUCGAUCAGUAGCUGGUCUGAGAGGACGACCAGCCACACUGGGACUGAGACACGGCCCAGACUCCUACGGGAGGCAGCAGUAGGGAAUUUUGGACAAUGGGGGAAACCCUGAUCCAGCCAUGCCGCGUGAGUGAAGAAGGCCUUCGGGUUGUAAAGCUCUUUCAGCCGGAACGAAACGGUUACGAUUAAUACCUGUAACUACUGACGGUACCGGAAGAAGAAGCACCGGCUAACUACGUGCCAGCAGCCGCGGUAAUACGUAGGGUGCGAGCGUUAAUCGGAAUUACUGGGCGUAAAGCGUGCGCAGGUGGUUUUGUAAGUCAGAUGUGAAAWCCCCGGGCUUAACCUGGGAACU
rnacentral:rRNA from 1 species